rnacentral:rRNA from 1 species
GGAAAUUAAACCAAAUGGGAUAUCUUUAGUAAUUGCGAAUGAACAAGGAUAUGCUUAGCUUGACAAAUGGAGCUAUUGGCUUUGAAUUGUAUUGUGGAAAUGUAUUACCAACAGAGGUGCAGGUGCCAGCCUAUUGAAAUAAAGCGUCAAUGAGGGUGAGAAUCCUGUUUGUCAUGUGCAGCCCUUUGUGCACGGUGUAUAUUUGCUGAGUCACACUCCUUGGCAUUGGAAUGCAAAGUGGGUGGUAAGUUUCAUGUAAAGGUAAACAUGCAAUUGAGACUGAUAGCACACAAGUACCAUGAGGGAAAUAUGAAAAGGACUUUGAAAAGAGAAUUAAAUGAGUUUGUAUUUGCUGAACACAAAGUAAACAGACUUGAUUUGCUUGGUGGGAGUGUUGCACUUGCUUGACAAGAGCUUUGGGCUGUGGGUGUAAUGAUUCUUUCUUUGCAUGCCAGUUUCUAUUUGUACAUCUGAUUACCUUUGCACAUGAAUGAUAAGUCUCCUGUGGGGGGUGGAUUGCAUGUGCAUGUAAUGAUUUGUGUUUUGAUAAAUGUGUCUGGUGUAUGUGUGUGUUCCUGUGCUUGGGGAUGCUUCCUUCCUUGGACUUACAAGCCCUGACACACACAUGCUGGCAAAAUGCUUCUGCUUGACCCG